rnacentral:rRNA from 1 species
GAGUUUGAUCAUGGCUCAGAUUGAACGCUGGCGGCAGGCCUAACACAUGCAAGUCGAGCGGAUGACGGGAGCUUGCUCCUUGAUUCAGCGGCGGACGGGUGAGUAAUGCCUAGGAAUCUGCCUGGUAGUGGGGGACAACGUUUCGAAAGGAACGCUAAUACCGCAUACGUCCUACGGGAGAAAGCAGGGGACCUUCGGGCCUUGCGCUAUCAGAUGAGCCUAGGUCGGAUUAGCUAGUUGUGGGGUAAUGGCUCACCAAGGCGACGAUCCGUAACUGGUCUGAGAGGAUGAUCAGUCACACUGGAACUGAGACACGGUCCAGACUCCUACGGAGGCAGCAGUGGGGAAUAUUGGACAAUGGGCGAAAGCCUGAU